rnacentral:rRNA from 1 species
GGAAUCUUGGACAAUGGGGGCAACCCUGAUCCAGCCAUGCCGCGUGAGCGAUGAAGGCCCUAGGGUUGUAAAGCUCUUUCACCCGUGAAGAUAAUGACGGUAGCGGUAGAAGAAGCCCCGGCUAACUCCGUGCCCGCAGCCGCGGACAUACGGAGGGGGCUAGCGUUGUUCGGAAUUACUGGGCGUAAAGCGCGCGUAGGCGGAUGUGCAAGUCGGGGGUGAAAUCCCGUGGCUCAACCCCGGAACUGCCUCCGAUACUGGACGUCUCGAGGACGGGAGAGGCGAGUGGAAUGCCGAGUGUAGAGGUGAAAUUCGUAGAUAUUCGGCGGAACACCCGUGGCGAAGGCGGCUCGCUGGUCCGUUUCUGACGCUGAGGCGCGAAAGCGUGGGGAGCAAAC